rnacentral:rRNA from 1 species
UACGUAGGGUGCAGGCGUUAAUCGGAAUUACUGGGCGUAAAGCGUGCGCAGGCGGUCUGCUAAGAGAGAUGUGAAAUCCCCGGGCUUAACCUGGGAACUGCAUUUGUGACUGCAUAGCUAGAGUACGGUAGAGGGGGAUGGAAUUCCGCGUGUAGCAGUGAAAUGCGUAGAUAUGCGGAGGAACACCGAUGGCGAAGGCAAUCCCCCUGGACCUGUACUGACGCUCAUGCACGAAAGCGUGGGGAGCAAACAGG